rnacentral:rRNA from 1 species
AUGGCUGACGCCGACGCGAAGGCCCCUCCAAAAUCGAACCUCGAUGCAGACCUGAUCGCCUCAAUCUCCCCCUCCUCCAAUUCCUCCGGUGCUCGGAAUGCCGUGGCGAUCGAGAGCCAGUUCGCAGACCUCGCAAUCUCUGACGAGCUACCCAAGCCUUCGGGAUGGGGCGAUGAUGCCGUCCUUGGUAUUGCCGGAAGCGAUGAGAUAACCGGAGAGAUCACUGGAGGAAAAGUGCAGCCGGUGGCGACAGCGGAUUCGAGGCCUCGGUUUCCGCAGCGUCACGCGGAGCCGGAUUGUACUUACUACUUGAAGUUCGGAACUUGCCGCUUCGGGAUGAAGUGCAAGUUCAACCAUCCGGCGCGAAAGAAGAAGAAUAGGGUGAAAGCGAGUGGGAGUAGCAGCAGCGGGAGCAACGACAUCAGUAAUAAAGCUUUUCCGCCGGACGAUGAUCAGACUCCUAAAGAAGAAUAUGAAGAUCUUGUUCCAAAUAUUUCAGCUGAAGUCGAUUUGUUGAAGGGAAGAAUGGAGGCAAUGCAACUUAAGAUUGCUGAUGAGACUGAAAAAGGAUUCUAUUUGAAGAAGUUUAAAGAGACAGAACAAAAGGUUGCUAAAGAGAAAAGAAAGGAAACUGUUUCAGAAGGUAGUGCUCAGGAGGAAUGUAAGUAUUACUCAACGCCCGGAGGAUGCAAAUUUGGGGAAUCUUGCAGAUACCUACAUUACGAAGGGAAAGAAAGGAAAACAGAAGUUGCAAAGGUUGAGCUGAAUUUUCUAGGUCUUCCACUUCGUCCAGGAGGAAAAGAGUGUCCGUACUAUAUGCGCAUUGGGAGCUGCAAAUUUGCCACCAACUGCAGAUUUCACCAUCCGGAUCCUAGUAAUGUGGUUUCAAGAGAUCCAAUGUUGGAGCAUGAGAAUGGCGAUAUUCCACAACAAAAUGUUCAAGCAUCUUCUCAGCUGAAUGUUCCAGUAUGGUCUGCUGACCAAAGGGCAUUGAAUGAGCACUGUGCUCCUUUUUUAGCUCCAGCAUCCUCAUACAGUGCGGGAAUGAUUCCACCUCGGGGAAUGUAUCCAUCUCCAGAAUGGAGUGGGUACCAUCAGGUUCCAUUAGGUCCAUAUUACCCUCCUGGAAUCGCUUUUCAUCAUUUUCCAACUCCUCCUGUGAAUCAUCCUAUGUACAGGGGAGCAGAUGUACCGGGACAUCAAGAACUGCCCUCCGAUGAAUACCCAGAGAGACCUGGCCAACUUGAAUGUCAACAUUUUGUUAAAAGUGGGUUUUGUAAAUUCAAGGCCAAGUGCAAGUAUCACCAUCCAAGGUCACUUGUGCCUCCACCAACAGCCGGAGCUCUUAGUCCUCUCGGCUUGCCACUCAGAUCUGAUCAGCCCGUGUGCACAUACUAUGAACGCUAUGGAGUCUGCAAGUUUGGGCCAGCUUGCAUGUACAAUCACCCUUUUAAUUUUGGUCAUCCUGUAUCCGCAGCAGGGCCACCUCUCUCUGCUCAAUACCUCACUUCAGGAAACUACACGGUCUAG